ensembl:snoRNA small nucleolar RNA SNORD90
CUGGAAUACAGCACUACGUCUGGUGAUGAAGCUGCAUAGGGCAGAUUCUGAGCUGAGAGAUACAGCCUCUCAGCACUGAUCCUCAGUUCAUGCAACCUGAAGACGUGCUGUUAAUU